GCCUUGCCCAGCCCAGAGGAGUCAGUGAUGCUCUAAGCGUGCCCCUCGGGGGUGGGUGAUGGCUGGCAGCCCUCGGCUCCCCGCCCGACACACAGACAGCAGGAGGGAGCAGGGAGCGGGCUUUGCAUCCGCACGCAAAACAGCUGGGUGUUGGGAGUUUGGCCCCCCGGAGAGGACCAAAACAGCGGCUCGGCUGUUUCUAAUUCAGCGUCUGGGCUGGUCGGGUUAUGGAGUUCACUUAUGGAGGUAGAUGCUCUGGAGCAGUGACUGCUUUGGCAAGUCAAGGAUCGUGCAUGGUGUGAGACAUAAAGCAAACAUGAGUUAUCUCUUCCCGUGGCCGUGACUGCUCCGCUUGCAGCGCUUCACUGCCAGCUGUGCGGGUGGUGUACAGAUUCCUGCUGCUGCAAAAACUUCUCUUUCUUUUUAAGAUGCACGUUAAAUGCAGCUGGAGAGCCUUAGCAGAGGCAGGCAGGGCAGAGGCAGACAUCGAUGUCAUCACCUUUUCCACCACUUGCUAAUGCCUUUACACAUUGCACUGGCACAUCCCAUGUGCCUCUGCCAAAACUGAUUCCCAGAUGAGAGGUCUUGUGCUGAAACGCUGCCUACACACCCCAACAACACCAAGGCACUUAAAAUGGUUUGUCUUCUUAUUACUUUUUAUAGCUGUCUCCCAAGAAAAAUUACUUUGUACAGAAAAUCAUGUAGCAAUUGUUAAAAGCUGGUUUUAGAAGUUUUGUUCCUAAAACAUUUGUGCUUUUACAUGUGCAGCAGCCCAGAUGCUUUCAUGCCUGAAGUUUCUAGGUUGUUCCCAAAAUCAUGGGCUGUAGCCUGCAGACAGGAGUCGGACCCAUAAGAGUUGAGCAAUGUUCUCAGCAGUGUAACAAGAGGUGGUGAGAAAGGGCACAGGUGAGUGGGGCUCCAGAAAGCACAGACAGCAUUAUUUAAGGUUUUUAGUGCAAAACUCAUUGAAUCACUCUGCAGAUUGCUUGCAGAUUUAGAAGAUGCCACAGGUGGCAGCAAAAGAGAAUUAUUCCAGAUUAAAUUUACAUGAUGAAUGUUUUAUUGUAUUUUACAUCAAAUAAUAUUCUGCAAAACAUAGCAGAGGUUUCUUUUCUGAAGGAUUUAAUCCUGCUUGGAAUUAUGUCUUUAUAAGAAUAUAGUUUCUAGGAUUUGGUUAAGGUUGAUUAAGGCAGCCAGACAGAGAGCGGGUUUUUGAGGAAAUGUGUUUUUUCACACACACACGUGUUUUUCUUGCAGCAGCAGCCCAGGCUUAAGGAGCUGCUGGCACCACAGGCCCCCCACUGUUCACCCCUGUGCUGCUGCCUUCCCUUUAGCUGAGCAUGUGUCAAUCCACACAGUGUGCUCAGGGAAUUUACCCAAGUUAAAUUAACUGUACAGCAACAACAGCUGGGCUUGGUUGGUUGGGUUUUUUCAAUCCAGAUCUGGCAUUCCUACCUUUGAGUUAUCAAUGCCCCCAGGAUGGCUGUACAAGUGAGAGAACACUGCCAGAUGGAGCAGGAGGGAAAUGAGGGGAUCCCAUCUGGGGUGCUUCUACCUGGAUCUGAUUCUGAGCUAGCAGAGAACAAAACUGAGACAGACUGCCCAGGAGCGUGGUGGUUUUCAGUGUCAGACUUCCCAUUGAGACAGCUGCCAAUGUAUAUUGAACAGAUACUCAGGAAAGAGUGAGUACUGGGAGCUAAUAGACCUGUUCCCAACUCAUAACCUGGAAAUGGGCUGACUCUUUGAUCUCUGGCUACUGUGACAUCCUUCAGACCAAAAGCCUCCUCUGUUCCCUUGCCCUUUAUGGUUCCAGAGGUGUUCCAACAGCUGUCUUGUGACAGCAGCUGACACACUUCCCUUGGUGAGGAAAACAACAGUGAGGCUUCCCAGGCCUGAAAACUUUCUUUGGGAGACACAGAGGUAACAAUUAUAGCCUUUUAAAAACUCUACAUUGUUACAAUGAAAGUAAAAUAACUUCCACACCCUACAUUUUGUGGCAUUCCGCGUUGUCCGUGGAUGCAGUGUGACCUGUGGCUCUGCCCUGUGGAAUGGGAAACUGUGUGUGAGUGAAUUGUGGGCAGAACCCCUGGUGCAGCCCAGGAUUGCACACACAGGCCCUGGCUGUGGGGUUCCCACUCAGACUCCUCAUUACCUGGCUACAGACAGUUGUAUUUUCUAGCAGAUGUGCCUGUGAGUGGAUGAGAGUGCUCUGAGCAGGUCAGGCUCUGCUGCCUGUCUGCAGGUGCUGACUUCUGUUUAUUCUAGUCUGCCUCAGUUUCCCUGUCUGGGCUGGCUGGCUAUUACCAGCAUGUUCCCAUAUCUUGGUGAUGAGUUCCUUUCUGCUUUCCAGUGCUAUGUGCUUUUGCAAAAGCAGAGCAAUUCUGGAGCAAGACCAGAGCACAGGAAUUAUAUUUUCCUUUUCUUUUUGCUCACAGCAUCACACAUUAAUUUUUGCCAGUGGGAUCCUUGUGGCCACCCUUCUAUAUUGGCAUGGUCUGAAACAGGUCUAAGAUUGAAUAAAAGCAAGGGGGACAGUACUGAUUGUAAAGGAGCACAAUCAGUACUCAGUACAGUACACUUGUAAAGGAGUGUGCUUUAGGUGGACAGAAGAAUAGGAGGCUUCUGCCUCCUCCCAGGCAAGCAGGAUGACAUGAAAGACAGCUCCUUGCUUCCUUCUGGCAGUUCUGUCCCCUCCCAAUGCUGGCACACUUCUCCACAGCUCCCACAGAGAAUCAUCCCAUGAUGUCCCAAAAGCUGUGCCUGUGGGGUAGUGCAGUGUGCCUCCUGCAGCAAGGAAAAUGUGCUGUGUCUGGAUUCAGUGGAGUUUCCCUCACAAGUAGUUUUCCAUCCUGCUGUGCCCCUUGUAGGCUGACAAAGAAGUUUUUGAUGCCUUGUAGGUGCCAACAUCUGCAUGGACUCAUACCCAGGUAAGGGCUGGAAGCAUUUAGAAGACAUUCAGUUUUGUCCUUUCCUGUUUUCAGGCUUGCUUUUAUUUGUGUCCCACCAAGGUAAAAAGAAGGAUUUUAUGUCUUCCCUCAAGAAGCAGAAGAUGUGACAGAAGUCCAGAAGUGGCUUGCUUUUUGAAAUUAACAUGGCAAAAACUAAGAGAGCUAUCUCUAAAGGAAAAGCAGACUGCCUUGUGCUGAUAUGAAAAAUUACAGGCUACUUCAGAAGCUGUUUACACUGAUCUUCACUCUGUUUGUCAGGAGAGAAACUUCUGGUGCUUUUGUCUGUGCUGGGAGUGCCUCAGCAGUGAGGCAUCUGUGCCAAGAGGACUCACAACACAAAAUGUGCCUGUAGCUGCAAUGAAACAGCUCUGAGCUUCAGCUGGAGGACACACUCUCACAUCACUGCUGCCAGCUCUGAGCAUCCAGCAAGGGCAAGACAGCCUGUGAAACACCAAGGCUGUGGAGCAGCAGGGGGAGAUGGGCCCUGUGCUUGUGUCUCAUGGUUAUUGAGAAAAGGAUCCAAAUGUGAAGCAAGUUUUGCUCCAAUGGUUCAAAACCAGAAGAAAAUGCACAGAACCAGAACUGGUAUGGUUGGAUGCCUGUUACAAUAUGAACACAAACCCAUGAUCUUUCUCUGCCCUUGGCUGCCCUGGUGCUAUUAAAACCCACCAAGUUUUCCCUCCCUGAGUAGGACUGCCUGGAGAACCCUUCAUCUGGCUUCCCUGUGCUUCCCUGCUGCUUCUCAGGUAUGUGCCAAGCUUUUCUUCCCUGCCCCUGGAAGGCUCUCUGUGCUGCUGGACAUGUGGCAAAGAGCAAAUGCAUUUAUUGCUGCAGAUGGGACAGCUGCAAUCCGAGGUGGAUGGAGAGUGACUCCAGGCUGGGGUGAUCUCAGCAGAUCUCUACUGCCAUCUUAGCCACCCCCCACAUAUUUACAAGACCACGUUUUUCCUCUUUUGCAGUCACAUCUUUGCAGCUGGGAUGCCUCUUACCUAAGGUAUUUGAGCAAGAGUCCUGGCAUGUACGAAGCAGUUCAGGAUAAACAGGGAACCUGCUGCCACUAAAAAUCCUGACAGACCAAGGACUGAUCCUACCUGCUCACAGAGCUUGAUUUUGCAUCUCUUCAGCCAAAUGGUGAUCUUCCCUCUGGCUGCAUGGAGCAGACUCCUGCUUUAGGGACCAGGGUAAUUCCUAAGAGCCACACAGGUGUCCAGCCAAGCAAACCCUCCCUGAAUGUUGCACUAUUUCCCCAUCUACUCAGCCUGACCUCCUUUACUCCAAACAAGUUUUUGCAUUUCAGAUUUCCACAGCAGCAAGCUGUCAUUGACAGUGUGUGACCAAGUCUGGGCUGUUCAAACACACCCACACCCAUCAAUGCCACUGUCACUGCCUGUGACCCCAUUGCUGAAGAGCAGGUGCAUGGCACCCUGGCCAAGACACACAGGGCUGUUCCUAGAAGAUGCCUGUUCCAGAGCUGGAUUGCUGCCUGCUUCCUGCUCUCCAGGCCUUUAUGUAAUCUUGAAGCAGUGCAGCUUCACCAGGUUCCUUUGUCUUUGUCUAACCAAAGUGCAAAAGCUGUUUUCAGGUGGGAAUUUUACUUAGGACUAUGUAAAAUGUGUAGGCAGAAAGUGCUGCAAAAGACCAGGUCAUUCAUUCCAGGCCUGAGUGAAUUCUUUCCCUGUCCACACUUCUCAAACUCUGGCCCAUGUUUUCAGCAGCUGGAGAAAUUAUCAACCACAUCACACAAAAGGAAAGACUUAUUCACUUUUUUUUUUUCCCCACAACAUAAGGAGAGCCACUCCUGUGAAAUCCUCUCCAGAUCUGUGGGUCCAGGUUGCUGGUUUUCUCCAUGUAGGCAUGUAAAAAUCAUGAAUUGUGAAAAAAGGAGUGAUGAAGUGCUCUUUGGAGCACUUGCAGAAUAGCCAUAGUUUGGAUAAUGACAAUUUUUCUUUCUCUGGGUGGAGUUUAAGCCAUUUGGGAGUUGUUAAUUGUACAUUGAUAUGAACAGGAAGGGGAGCAUAACAUAAAGAGGACAGCAACCACCCUGAGGCUGGCUGGGAGAUUUGUGUGGCUGCUGGUGUCAAAUGCUGAAGCAGAAAUUGGUUUGACAUUUUGGAGGGGAAGGCAGUGCUGGUCAGUCCUGGCUGCUGCCCUGGGUACCUGCUGAUUCAAUGGCUCUGAGGAUAAUGCAUUUUGCAGCAGAGAGGAGAUUGUGUCUGAGCAGUUCUCAGGAGGAAUUGUGCCAUCACACUCCACAAACAGCAAGCAGUGCCAAGUUGUGAAAGGGCUUGUGUCAGUAAAUCACCUGUGAUGUUUUUGGCAGGCAUCUAACCAACACCCAGGGAAGGCUCACAGACUGGUGAUGCACCAUCUCCUCACAUUUUGCACUCUCUGCUGGUGAAGGUAGGCUGGAUAUCCCUGCCUUGGCCCCCUAGAGGGAUUUCUGGCCAGGACAGUGGUCCAUGAAAGAUGAAACAGAAGUCAGGCAAAGAGUAAGAUAUUGUCAUUUGCCCCUGAGGUCAUGUAGGGUCCCAGAAAAAACCAUUGCUGAAAACCAAGGAGUCCUCAGUCCCAGACUCAGAGAGGAGGUGCAGUGUGUGUAAAGCUGUGAAAGUACCCCAGGAAACCCAGGCCAUUCACAUGGAGUAUGUCCAGCUAUAGACUAGCAGAGAUACCCACACACAAGGACAGUGGGGAUUUAGACAUUUUGGGGGCUAGACUCGAGUCCUGGAUAAGCUUCAGCUUUGCUCCAACUAACUCAGCUUUAUUAUUUUCUUGAGAGUGAGUACAGUGCAGAGCUCUCUCCCAAAAGCUCUGGAAGCUGCUGGUCCAGUUCAGAAAGGUGGCUGGGUGUGUGAUGCUCCUCUCCAGUGAUUUUUACUGCACAGUAGCUUUUAGCCAGGUUCCAGCAGCAUCCUGGUGGCACCAGUGUAAAAGCAUUUGGCCUCUUUUGGUUUGGACACUCAUCCAUGAGGCACUGAGAGAGAGUUACCCACAGUGAGCAUUACAGCUGUUGGUCACUGCUGACCUGGGCCAGCUUUGAUUGCUGAUCCUGAGAGGUUUCACUCUGUCAUUCUUCUCCAGAGGUUUCUGCUCCUCCUAGAAAAAAAUAUUCAAGGGCAUUUCUAAUGGAUGCAGAAAAAACAAACAAACACAUCCCCAGGCUUUUAGGUAUUGCAUUGCUUCCUGUGACCCUCUCUCCUCCCAGCAAUGCCUAGAUUUCAAGUUGCAUAGGCUGGGUGGAAUAUAUUUUAGAACAAGACUCUAUUUAGCCGUGAUGUCAACUGCAGCCAACUAUAAAAAGCUCAGUAAUGCUCUUUGAAAGUGUAACAGCUGCUGCUCUACACAGUCCCUGGUGUAUUACAAGUCCGCCCUACUUCAUGUUCACACAACCAAAAUAAAAUACAAUAGCAAUCAUUUAAAUAGUUCAAGGAAUUUGGGACAUAAUCUCCCCAGAAACCAGGAGGAAUUCAAGGUUAGACAAACUGAGUAAUUUUGCAUGGUUUGUUAACAGAAAGGGAAUUUGCAAAAUUGACUUUUACCUCCCAUUGACUAUGUGCUAUCAAUGAUCCUUACACAGUGACAACAGAGCAGCAAACCUUCCUUUGGGCAGCUCUGCUGGGUGUUGUUCACACACACAAACUGAGCAUUUUCAUCCUUAACUGGAUUUGGUCAUGUAUAUUUAGAAAAACACUGAUCAGGCCAAAAUUUCCCAUAAAAGCAGGAAAGGAAACAGUUGAACAAAAUGUUUUUUAUUAAUCCAGAUGAAUAGACAGAAGUGAAUGACUGUGGAAUUAUGCUAGCACUGCACACCCUCACUGUACUGGAGAGGUGGUUUUGGCUGGGUCUCUGUUAAGGACAGUCUUGAAAUGCUGGAUGUUGUAGUAAAGUGUUUUGGUUUUUGGUUUUUAAAUCUGAGCAAUAAACAUUCAGGAGUGAUCCCCACA